GAUGAACGCUGGCGGCGUGCCUAAUACAUGCAAGUCGAACGCACAGCGAAAGGUGCUUGCACCUUUCAAGUGAGUGGCGAACGGGUGAGUAACACGUGGGUAACCUACCUCUUAGCGGGGGACAACUAUUGGAAACGAUAGCUAAUACCGCAUAAUAAUUUUUAACACAUGUUAGGAAUUUGAAAGUACCAACUGGUACACUAAGAGAUGGACCCGCGUUGUAUUAGCUAGUUGGUAGUGUAAUGGACUACCAAGGCGAUGAUACAUAGCCGACCUGAGAGGGUGAUCGGCCACAUUGGGACUGAGACACGGCCCAAACUCCUACGGGAGGCAGCAGUAGGGAAUCUUCGGCAAUGGACGAAAGUCUGACCGAGCAACGCCGCGUGAGUGAAGAAGGUUUUCGGAUCGUAAAACUCUGUUGUUAGAGAAGAACGUCAGUGAGAGUGGAAAGUUCACUGAGUGACGGUAUCUAACCAGAAAGGGACGGCUAACUACGUGCCAGCAGCCGCCGUAAAAC
rnacentral:rRNA from 1 species